UGGUACACGGACAAGAAUAUUUCCUGGAUGCAUGUCAGCAUGCAUAAAGUUGUCAACCUGAAAGAAAGAGGUGCAUCUUAGGUCCAGAAAAAUAUCCGACACACAGAAAUGUCACUUGGAUUAACAUCUAAGCUUUCACAUAAUAUUAGGAAACAGCAAAACCACAUAGAUAUUCGUACCACAGACAUGUAACAUCCUUGCUCUAAGCGUGUGUAGACCUGUAUCUGUGUCCAAUAUUCUCAUCUCAGUCUUAUGUAGAAAAAGACGAACCCAUGAUACUAAGGAAUAUCAAAUAAUCUUGAUUUAUUGUCAUGUUCGAACAGAGUCUUCCACAUGUGAAAGAAAAAUGAGAAUCUUAUUCUUAUUUUGAGCAAAAUCCAACUAUACCAUAGAUAUCUUAGGUCCAGAAAAAUAUCUGACACCACAGAAAUGUCACUUGGAUUAACAUCUAAGCUUUCACAUAAUAUUACGAAAUUGCAAAGAUCUUUGGCACUCUGCCAGCUCUCAAUACCGAGUAAAUCGAGGCCUCCCAGCACACAAGUUACAGCCUAUCGUUUAUUUUGAAAGCAACAUUCAGAACAUUAGUGUGAAGCCAGU
rnacentral:lncRNA from 1 species